AGCACCGGCUAACUCCGUGCCAGCAGCCGCGGUAAUACGGAGGGUGCGAGCGUUAAUCGGAAUUACUGGGCGUAAAGGGUGCGUAGGUGGUUGAUUAAGUUAUCUGUGAAAUUCCUGGGCUUAACCUGGG
rnacentral:rRNA from 1 species